rnacentral:rRNA from 1 species
CCUACGGGUGGCAGCAGUGGGGACUAUUGGGCAAUGGAGGAAACUCUGACCCAGCACCGCCGCGUGAAUGAUGAAGGUCUUAGGAUUGUAAAGUUCUUUUCUAAGGGAAGACGAAAGUGACGGUACCUUAUGAAUAAGCCUCUGCUAACUACGUGCCAGCAGCCGCGGUAUGACGUAGGAGGCGAGCGUUAUGCGGAAGGACUGGGCGUAAAGGGUGCGUAGUGGGUUGGGCAAGUUAGUAGCGUAACUCCAAGGCUCAACCUUGGAAUUACUACUAAAACUGUUGGACUUGAGUGCAGGAGGGGCAAGCGGAAUUCAUAGUGUAGCGGUGGAAUGCUUAGAGAUUAGGAGGAACACCAGUGGCGAAGGCGGGUUGCUAGACUGUAACUGACACUGAGGCACGAAAGCGUGGGGAGCAAACAGGAUUAGAUACCCGUGUAGUC